rnacentral:tRNA from 3 species
GCGCCCGUGGCUCAAUUGGAUAGAGUACUUGACUACGGAUCAGGGGGUUAGGGGUUCGAAUCCUCUCGGGCGUGCCA